rnacentral:rRNA from 1 species
UCAUCGAAUCUUUGAACGCACAUUGCGCCCGCCAGCAUUCUGGCGGGCAUGCCUGUUCGAGCGUCAUUUCAACCCUCAAGCUCUGCUUGGUGUUGGGGCCCUACAGCCGAUGUAGGCCCUCAAAGGUAGUGGCGGACCCUCCCGGAGCCUCCUUUGCGU